UGGCGGCAAUAGCGCAGUGGAACCACCUGAUCCCAUGCCGAACUCAGAAGUGAAACGCGGUAGCGCCGAUGGUAGUGUGGCAUUCGCCAUGCGAGAGUAGGACACUGUC
rnacentral:rRNA from 1 species